CAGCAAAUGUUGCUACUUUUUUUCUUCAGUCUGGUUAUUUCCCAUUUUAAAUAAAAAAAUAAAGGUAGAUAAAUAUUAAAAUGAACAGUAGGAACUAUAUAUACUGUAUAUAUUUACUAGGUAGAUAUAGCCUGACUGCAUGUCAUGAGUAAUGCUAUUAUUAUUAUAUUAUUAUACCACAAUUAUAUUACUUUCUCUGCAUGUGUGGUUAGAUGUGUUUUAUGUGUUUAACCUUUCUGUAUAUAUACUGGAAUGAACCAAGGAAUUGUAGCCCUACUGCCGUUCUUUUAAACUAUGUGAUCAUGUUUUUUCUUCCAAACUCAUUGUUUUAGCACGCACGCUGACUUCCAUCAGUAAUGAUGAUAUAUAUACAUUGAGUCAUUGGUUUGUAGGGGGAAAGAGUGGGUGAAUAUAAUUAUCUUGGUCUAACUUAUACUGUUUAUUAUAACGCUAUUCGCAGCAAUAUCUUUCUCUGCUCUGAUUGCAACGCUGCCUCGUUCAAAAAUCAUAACACCGCCGCGGCCGCCACGUUUACCAGCCGGAGCCUCAAAUCAUGUCCCUUUGUGGUGAUAAAGAGGACACAGCCUGGUGUGAAGCUACAUUUAUUACGGAAGGAUGCCAGCCGGGAUCCGAACACGUCCGAUAUCAUCCAAGAGAAUGUGGCAGCUGAAGGGGGAGAGGCCAAGAAAGAGGCCAAGGGUGAAGACAUUUAGCCACCCCCCCUGAAGUACAUGGCAGCAUUCAACCCUCUUGGUGAGCUACAGGAAUGUGCUUCCCAUUGCAGUGCACCAGCUCCAUGUACUGAUUUUGGUGUGAACUUGAUGGGGUUGGAGGAAACUUGACUCGGCCAUCAAGCUCACCACAAUAUAACAUGAAAAGUGAAAAUUGCUGCACACAACAGUCUGUCGUCUGCACCGGGAGGCAAGGCAGCUCAAAGCCCAGGCUGUUACAAAUCCUGGGCAGUUUUUGCCCAGAGCCAGCAAUUUUUUAGAUCCAAUAGGGAUGGAUUUUUUAUGAGGUCAGGUUCAACAUGCUGCAAGAUGCCAAGAUCUAAGCCUAGUAGGAGAUAUGGGUUACAAGAGAGGAGGUUUGCUCUGGCCUUAUACUAUCAAAGUCCAAAUGCUAAUAGAUUUCUGAGCACAGUAUUUCACUUGUCUUCAGUUUCAACACUUCAAUCAUGACUCAGGGGUAUUUCAGUACAUGUUGGCUGGAGCAAACAGACUCUGACAGCCCUGCAGCAAAGAGCACAGGCUUUGUCAAAAGAAGAGAAACUUCGUGGGAUUUGCCAUUAUUUAGUAUUACUCUUGUUACGCCAAGAAUUUUUUUCCAUAUACUUUGCCAAAUAUUGCAAGUAAUGCACCAUUGUUGGGCUUGCUUGUUAUAAAUCAUAUCUUGUUCAAUUAACAAGCUUUGGGUGUCUGCCACUUUCCAGUUGUAAUGCAAGGAAUCAUUUAUCUUCCCUGCUAGAUAUCACACGUAAUGCACCAUUGUUGGUUUUGCCUGUUAUAAAUCAGAUCUUGUUCAGUUAACAAGCUUUAGGUGUCUGCCACUUUCCAAUUGUAAUGCAAGGAAUCCCCUGCCAGAUAUCGCAUGUAAUGCACCAUUGUUGGUUUUGCCUAUUAUAAAUCAGAUCUUGUUCAGUUCACAAGCUUUGAAUAUCUGCCAUUGUUUAUUUCAGGUGUAAUGCUUAGAAGCAUUUGUUCUCUUCCCUACCCAACAGUACGCAAUACUUUAUUGUGGAUUUUGCCUGUUAUAUUUAAUCUUGUUCAGGUAGCAAGCUUUUGGUGUCUGCCUUACCUAAUAUGUCCUGCAGUGACACUUGGCUUGGUUUCAUAAUGUGAAAUACAGCAUGUAAUUUCAUCACACUAAGUGUCUAUCAUCACGUGUCUGGCAUCAAUGUGGCUUCCAGGACUAAUCUUGUUUGUAUUACAGCUUGCAAAUUUUUUUCUGCUUUAUAUGAUAUACAUAAUCACAUAGGUAUGAUUUACAAAAUGUAAUGGCAGUUGAUAUUCUUGACUAAUGCCUCAUAAACCUUGUGAAAAAUAAUGCUUUUUGGAAAGGGGGGGGGGGGCAGAGAGUGGUUUGUUUGGUUGGCCAGUUCAAGGAGUUUCAUAUCAAAUGAUUUUAUUACAUCCAACUUUAAUGUGCUAAACACAUAUAUUUUAUUACAUCCAACUUUAAUGUGUGCAUAAAACAUAUAUUUUAUUACAUCCAACUUUAAUGUGUGCU